rnacentral:lncRNA from 1 species
UGCAUUUUGCUAAUUAAAAUGAAAUAUAUUUACCACCAAAGUUUAAUUGCAAAGCUAAUUAGUUUUUGUUUCCAUUAAAAAUUUGCAAUAUAAGGGGGAUGGCUGAAGAAGAUGAGAACGCUAAACAUGGACUACGCCUGACGAUACCAGACUACCCGUUUGCGAAUGACGGUCUAAUAUUAUGGGAUGCAAUUAAAGAAUGGGUGACAGAAUAUGUGAACCACUAUUAUCCAGAUGCAGAACUGAUCAAGUCGGACGAGGAACUUCAAGGAUGGUGGAGCGAAGUGCAAAACGUAGGACAUGGAGACAAGAAAGAUGAACCUUGGUGGCCUGUCCUCGAGACACAAGAUGACUUAAUUAAUAUCGUCACGACGAUUGCGUGGGUCGCUUCAGGUCAC